CCUACGGGAGGCAGCAGUGGGGAAUAUUGGACAAUGGGGGAAACCCUGAUCCAGCAAUGCCGCGUGUGUGAAGAAGGCCUGCGGGUUGUAAAGCACUUUCAGUAGGGAAGAAAAGCCUGGCGCUAAUACCGUCGGGUCUUGACGUAACCUACAGAAGAAGCACCGGCUAACUCCGUGCCAGCAGCCGCGGUAAUACGGAGGGUGCAAGCGUUAAUCGGAAUUACUGGGCGUAAAGCGCGCGUAGGCGGUUUGGUAAGUCGGAUGUGAAAGCCCUGGGCUCAACCUGGGAAUUGCAUUCGAUACUGCCUGACUCGAGUAUGGUAGAGGGAAGUGGAAUUUCCGGUGUAGCGGUGAAAUGCGUAGAUAUCGGAAGGAACACCAGUGGCGAAGGCGACUUCCUGGGCCAAUACUGACGCUGAGGUGCGAAAGCGUGGGGAGCA
rnacentral:rRNA from 1 species